GUAUAUGCGCGCGCGUGAACAGGGACGACCUGCGCAUGUGGCUCCGAGUCCCCGAUCAGCACCUGCCUCAGCACCGCUCCAGCUCUCACACUCACAAGGCUCCUGUCCCCUUCCUGCAAUCCCAGGGGGUUCGCGAGCCCGCAGCCCGGCGCAUCCCCCGCCGCCUCCACUUCCGCUUACGCCGUGCCGCGGGCUUUUCCCGCCGCGUACCUUCAGCCCCAGGCUCUCUGCGUUGCCUUGAGGUGCGCGGCCGGGUCCCUCGGGAGUUUCCACGGCAAUAGAGAUGGCGUCUCAUGAUCCCUUUGCAAAAUGAGAAGUGCAGUGAAUGUAAGCCUACUCUGCUUGGGGCCGUACCUGGAGCUAUUUUCAUCUGGAGUUGUCUCAAAUGAGAAGCUACAAACACAGCCAGGCAGAAAGGAAUGAAGAAAUGUUUGCACAGUGAAUGGGCCGGCUGGAUGGGAGCUGUCCCUGAUGGCUGUGGAAUCCUCUAGUCAGCUUGGCAUGGCUCUGGCAGAUCAAGCUCCACACCACUCUGAGAUGUGCUCCUACACCCAGCAGGAACUUCUAAUCACCGGGCUGGCGCUGUGGCUUAGUGGGCUAAGCCUCCACCUGUGGCACCAACAUCCCAUAUGGGCACCGGUUGUAUUUCUGGAUGCUCCUCUUUUGAUCCAACUUUGUGCUAUGACCUGGGAAAACAGUUGAAGAUGACGUGUAAUUUUAGAGACCUCUACAUGUUUCUAAGAUCAAAGAAAAAUGAAUACAUCUCCAAUUUAACUUACCCUACACAUCUUCCGAAUUUCUCAGAUAGCAUGACAUGAAAAAUGGCCAUGGGUUGAAGUCCUUCAGAUUAUUUAUUUGACAGGUAGAGUUACAGAUAGUGAGAGAUAAGAGAGAAAGGUCCUCCCUCUGCUGGUUCCCUCCCCAAAUGGCUGCAAGGGCUGGAGCUACGCCAAUCUGAAGCCAGGAGCCAGGAGCUUUCUCCCGGGCCACAGCAGAGAGCUGGACUAGAAGAGGAGCAACCAGGAGUAGAACCUGGCAUCCACAUGGGAUGCCAGCGCCACAGAGGCACAUAAGAUGCACACAGAAGAAUACACUCCCUAUCUCUGCUUUUGGGUACAGCUGAUAUGUUUAGGAGAAAUAUGACGUUUCAAGUGUUGGUGUCAUUCAAAGACCUAGCUGUGGACUUCACCUGGGAGGAAUGGCAGGACCUGAUUGUUGCUCAGAGAAUCCUGUACAGGCAUGUGAUGCUAGAGACCUAUAACUGCCUGGUGUCCUUGGGAUACUGCAUUACCAAAUCUGAGUUAAUCUUCAGGUUAGAAGAUGGUGCAGAGCCAUGUGUGGUGGAAAAACCGCUAAACUGGCGCCUAUCAGUUGCCCAGAAAAUGGAUGGCUUAAUUGGGACCAAUCAGGAAAAUGAAGACAGACAUAAGUUUGAAUCAAGAUACAAUCAUAAACAAUAACACAUCAGUUCACAAGGGAGUUGAAUUUAAAGAAGCAGUUCAUUUAAGCUCAAGCCAUAUUCCAAAACUUAUUAUAAAAAGGGGAAGUUGUUCAGGAAUGAAACACAAGGCAUGCAAUAUAUUCCAAAAUGUGUAUCUCCCUAGUGGGUCUGAUGUGAUGGAAACUGGAGAGAAAUCUGAUGUCCCUAAUGUACCUGGGAAUUCUGCCCCAUGCUGCGAGCUUCUUUGUCAGCAUAACAAGAUUCAGACUAUGCAGUGGCCACUUGAACGGAAUGGACAAGGUUAAGCCUUCAGAAGGAAGAGAUACUCUUUUCAUUUGAGAAGGUUCAUUUAGAAGAACCCUGUAUUAAAUCAACUGUCUUUGUUGGAAACACAACUCAGAUAGAAAAGAAAACUUUACAUAAAAAUGAUAACCUCAGUAAGCAUCAGUGAAGCCACACAAGACAGAAACUCUGUGAAUCUGUUGAAAAUGAGAUUAGAACAUGUAAAUCAGAUCUUACAAUAAAUCAGAGAACAUAUACAGGAAAAAAAGCCCAUGUGUGUAAACCCUGUGGAAAAUCUUUCAGUUGUAAAUCCUGCCUUAACAUCCUUCCCAGAACUCACACAGGGCAAAAGCCCUUUUGGUGCAAUGAAUGUGGAAAAACCAUUUACCUAAUUUCAGACAUCACUAGAAAUCAGAGAAUUCACAUAGGUGAGAAAUCUUAUGAAUGUGAUAAAUGUGAAAAAGCCUUCUGUCGGAAGUCACAUCUCAUAACACAUCAGAGAAUUCACACAGGGGAGAAACCGUAUGAAUGUAAUGAAUGUGGUAAAGCCUUUUGUCAUAAAUCAAUCCCCAUUACACAUCAGAGAAUUCAUACAGGAGAACAGCCUUAUGAAUGCAAUGAAUGUGGAAAAGCCUUUUGCCAGAAGUCACACCUCAACACAUCAGAAUUCACACAGGGGAGGAACCCUAUGAAUGUAAUGAGUGUGGAAAAGCAUUUGGCCAGAUGUCACACCUCAUAACACAUCAGAGAAUUCACACAGGGGAGAAAAUUUAUGAAUGUCAUGACUGUGGAAAAGCCUUCCGACUGAAGUCAGACCUCAUCAAACAUCAGAGAAUACACACAAGGGAGAAACCUUAUGACUAUAAUGAAUGUGGAAAAGCCUUUGGCCAAAAGUCACACCUCAAAGCUCAUCAGAGAAUUCACACAGGGGAGAAACCUUACGACUGCAGUGAAUGUGGAAAGGCCUUUUGGAGAAAGUCAGACCUCAAAACACAUCAGAGAAUUCACACAGGGGAGAAACCUUAUCAAUGUAAUGAGUGUGGAAAAGCCUUUGGCCAUAUAUCAAUCCUCAUUAAACAUCAAAGAACUCAUACAGCAGAGAAGCCUUAUGAAUGUAAUGAGUGUGGGAAAACCUUUUGGCGAAUGUCAUACCUUAAUAAACAUCAGAGAAUUCACACAUGGAGAGGAAAUAUUGUAAAUGUGAUCAAAGUGGAAAAGUUUUGCCAGAAGUAGUAACUCCUAACACCACAGAAUUUACACAGGGGAGAAACAUUAAUCAGUGUGGAAAAGCUUUUGUUGGCAGUUACACAUUAUGCACUAGAUAAUUCACACAGGAGAGGAAGCUUAAUGUAAUGAUUAUGAAAAAGUCUCAGAAGUCAGUCCUCAUUGCAUAUCUGAGGAUUUUGUACAGGGAACAGCACUUAUGAAUAUAGAAAAACAUUUUCCUGAAGUUAACACUCUCAAUAGGCAAAGAAUUCACAAAGGAGGAGGGGGCAUUUUGUAUGCACUGGGUCAGAAAAAAUAAAAACCAUUUUUACCAGAAGUUAUUCUUCAGGAGGUAUUAGAAACUCAUACAAAGAAAAAAUAACAGCCUGUAUAAUGAGUAUAAAAAUAUUUUUACCAUAAUUCAUUCUUCACACAUCAAAGGACUUAGUGAUAAGAACAUGCAUUGUCAGAAAUCUUUACCAUAAAUCAUUUUAACAAUGUAUCAGAAAACCCACAUAGAGGGAAAAUCCUGUGAAUGUAGUGGAACUAUAAAAACCUUUCUUAUAAGGCAAACUUCAACAAAAAGCAGAAUUAUGGAAAGCACUGUGAAAAUGUAGAGAAACACUACUGGAAACAUCAGCAGGCAUUGAAUUCACAUGAUGGAAUAAUGCUGUAUGACAGAAGGACUAUGUAUUCAGAAUCUUUUUCUCUUUGAUGUACCUUUAUAGUGAUUUGGGCUAUGUAAAUGAGUUAUAUAGUUACAUAAACGUUAACAAUUUAGUCAGGAACAUUUGAAAUACUAUCUUCCUUGAUUAUAAAAUUAUUUGCUGUAGUGGUUUUGUUUAUUCCCAUGAUUCCUUUUGCCUCAUUAUUGUAGCACAAAAUAGUGGUGUGAUUACAGCCAAGCUUUUGUUGCAAACCGUGAAACUGUUCUCUCAGUCCUGGAUGAUGAGUAUUUUGUAGGGGAUUAGUUUCUGGUGACAUCUAUACUAAUGAGAACCCUAGAUUUAUCUCUGUCAAAAUCUGGAUUUUCCUAGAUUACCCAAAAUCUUUUUAUCAGGUGAGGAGGGGAUCUGUGCAGAGUGUUCUGGUGGCAGUCUUCCCAGGAUUGAUUUCAUGCUAUUUUUACAUAUUCCUGGGAUUUUCCAUCCAGUCUUCUGUGGUGCAUUGAUGUUUGUAAUUGAGUUCCCACAUGCUUAGAUUCACCUGGCAUUGUUGUUACCUCUUAUUUUAUUGAAUUAUUUGGGGGUGAAAUAUACAAGGAACUAGUUAGCAGUAGAAACAGGAUUGCUAGCAGCCUCGUGUUCACACCUUCCACAACCUAAAUACCUGUUAUGUUUAGCUAUUGGGAUUGCACUGGCUAGAAAUAUCCAAGAGGAUAUUGGCCAACCCACUCACCAUCAGGCACCAGAGGCUCAUUUACCAUCAUGUAUCAGAUGCCAUGACAUUUUCUAAAUUUUAAUGUGUGUCCCCAGCCACUUGUGCACCUGAGGCUAUCACCGAGAAUUCCUUAAAAGGAACAGCAGAGUGGGUAUUACUCAUGUCCUGCCCCCAAACUCUGCCCUAAUUGAAUAUUCAACUAUGUGUUGGCUCAUAUGCAACACACAUCCAAUAAAAAGGACAAUAAUUUUAGAAAUUGCAGUUCUCAUAAGAGGUUUCCCAUAACCCUGCCUGUGUGUGUACCAUCCCUCUAAAUCUUACUUUCACCAUUUCCCUUUUCUACCUCUCUUUAAUUCUUUAUUACUUGGAGACAGUUAAUUCAGUUUAGCCACAGGAUUUCUCCUGUAACAGGAACCAGUUCAUAAAUAUACUGUCUUGUAUUAUUUUGACAUUGCAAUGAUACGGUGUUUUUUUAAGCCCCCCCCACCACCACCACCAAGGUGACACUCAGUUUUACUAAACUUUGUGUUCACUUCUCUUCCCUAUUUUCCAAGUCUUUUCUGGGUUCUGAUUACAUGUGCUUUCAGCUCAGGUUUCAGCACAUACCCACUCAGCAUGGAAACUUUGCCAAGAUGGCAUAGCCAUUCCUUGGUUACUUGACUGCAAAUGUGAUGUAGGAUUAUCUAGCUGUAUUUUCUCCUUUUCUAUGUCUCAUCAAGAUGAUUAUCCAGAAAGUCAUUUCUUCUACCUUCAUUUAUACACAUUGCAAACAGCUCAUUACCUCAAGCAGGACCCCUGGGGAUCUUUGAAGCACUAAUAAGAUGCAAACCUCAAAUCCUAUUGUAAUGAAAUUUAGAAGCAAGAAAAUGCACUGAGAAUGGUAGAGUUGAAGCCUGGCAUUUAAAUUUCUGCCCCAUCAAACUUACCCAUCAGCAUCCAUCACAAGCCAGGAAAAUAAAAUCACAUCACAGCUUGAAAGAACAGGAAAAGCAAAGAACACUUUAUAGAAAAACAUGAAACAUUCACUGAGUGGACUUGAAACACUGGACUGCAAGUCACAUGAUGCUUUGCAAUUAAGGCAGUCAUCCAUUCAGAAUACUAAGCAUAUGUUAAAGUAAAUUAUUCCCACUGGUAUCAGUACUUAGUUCAAACUAGCCUUUUUCACUCAAUUUGCCCUACGGAAUUGAACAUAAGUAGUCUUCCAUGAAAAGGACACCAUGCAUUUCUAUUUCUGGGGUCUGACACUUCAGCAAGAAGCAAGGCGAGCCCCUUUCAGUUUUUUCAGAUGUCCUGUAUUUUCAGUAUUGAUGAACAGACUAGGUCAUGUUGACUGCCUGUUGAUUGUCACUGUGUGCUCCAGAGGAAAUGAUAGUUUUUCAUUUUUUGGUUUAUGUUGCAUAAGUAUGUAUAUUUUAUUUAUAAAUAGUUGUCUAUAACCAUAUAUACAGCUGGUAUAGUUUAUAUAUAUAUAGCUUCUAUACAUAUUUGUUAUCCAAAUAUCUCAUUCACAUUUUUUAUGUAGAACGAGGAAUUUUGAAGAUCCUUGCUAAAGGGAUCAAAUAAUUUUCAGUUUUGUACUUAAUAUGUACCUAUUCUUCUCCUCAUUCUUCUACUCUUUCCUCCAGUCCUCAUCCUGUUCAUUUCAUCCUCCAGCUCCCUUCUGGUAUCAAAAGGUCUGGAAGGUUUUUUGGCACACUGAACAUUUUUGAGAGUUGCCCUUUUUGAUGUGUUUUAUACUGUGUUCCCUAUCUCCAACAGUUUAUCACUAAUUACUGUAUAUUCUAAAGUUGGUGAAUCUAACGGUGGAGGGUAUAGUGUCUAAGAUUAUUGUUAAUAUUGCUUGCUUUUUCAAGUGUCAUAAGUAAUUGUUUUCUCUUGGGUUUGCUGAGACUCAUGAGCUCCAGUUUGCAUGGUAUUCAUGUGGCAGGAAUCUGGGCCCUAUUCAUAGAAGCUUUUCCUGCUCCUGGGAAUUCACUAUCUCCUGGUCUCCAUCAUUUCAGGGUGCACUUAAAUGAUAUACUGCAUGCAUAGCCAUGAGGAAUCCCACUACUACUAAUACUUCAUAGAUGGGAUGACGUGUGCAUAUCAAAUUAGGGCAAUUUAUAAAAAUGUGAAGAGAAUAUUGUUAAACUGAGCUAGUAUCCAUUAAAUUAUUUCUGCAGUGAUCUUUGGACAAAUGCCUAAAAUAUGUAAUCAAUGGCAUCACCUUGGUAGCACCAAGUAUACUUCUCUAAUCCACUGGCUUUAAUGAUAAUGCAAUGAUCUAUGUCCUAAUACCUACCCAUCAAAGAUCUAUGCAGUGUCAUCCUACUUCCUGUUGAAUUACAGUAGAAACCAAUUAGAAAAUGAGUACUUUCAACAACAGGUGUGCAGAAAACUAUUAUGCCAUCCUACAAGAUACAAUAUUCUGUAGGCAUGAAAUUUUCAUAUAUAUGUAUGUAUACAUAUAUUUGAAACAUUUAUAUUUAGCUACAAAAAGAAAACCUGUUAAGGAGGGGUAGAGACAUAAUAAUACCUCUUCUGCAAUAUCUAUUCUUGUCUUGAAAAGACAGAAUCAGUGACUCAACCUGAAUUUUGUAUUUUCAAAUCAUUAGAGUUCACAUGGGUCACACUCACCAUUAAAAUAUAUUUAAUAUUAUAUUUUUGCAGAGGUGUUACCCUAUGAUUACUAGGUACUAGCAAAAACUUUAUAUUUUCUUCAGGACUGUAGGAGAAAUAAAGUGUUCUCAUGGCCCCAAAUCCGGUACAUAACAGAAAAGUUUGUGAGCACAUGUAGAAGAGCUCAUGUUAACCCAAGUUUGCUCAUUUUGGUGCACUGUUUCUGAAAGUCUGCUGAGCACAGUAGUCCACUGAGCUGAUAAACAUGGACUAGGAAGGACAGGAAGAACAACGAGACUUUCCUCUGAUGAGACCACCUUUCCCUGACCCAUUAAGGGUGCCAGACAAGAAAGAAAUGUCUUCAUCAUUCCCAAAUCAAUUUUCAGCAGUUUUUAGGAGGGACAUAAGAUGGACAGGGAGGGACACAGAAUGCGUUUGUCCACCCAUCUGCAGACCAUAUAACAAGAGGCUAAUAUGUGACUUAUGGGAAAAUGAUUACAGCAAAGAGAACUUACCCUUAGAAUGUGAGAUUCUUAUUGAAAAUAUUAAUGAUUCUAUCAAUGAGGUAUGUGUAAAUGGGGAAAAAUGCAACAAUCACAGUAUCAGUAUCCUUGUAAAAAAUGCAUUCCAUUUUGAGAAAGCAGUUGGGAUCAUUAUGACACAUCACAAGGCAAUACGGCUGCAGAAAGCAACAAAAAAAUCAAAGCAAACAUCUUGCAAAUUUGUGAAAAAUCCUAGGACACAAUGGCAGUGGAUUUGUUCUGAGAGGAGGAGCAUGGUUGGGGCAAGAGGCGUGGAGUCAUGACAGACACAGAGUAGAGUGAAACUGGGCUAGAAGUGAGCAGCCUGCAGAGUCAUUUAUUUCAGUUGGUACAGCAGCUUAUAGCCAAGGCAGCCAAUCCAGUCAAGGGGCGGUUUAUGCCUUAAAUCACUGCCUAUGGCCAGGCAGGCUCCUUUGCCAGGUGGGUUCUGAAGCCAUUUCCUGAGUAACUGAUGCUUGCCUGCCAGCGGCCAUCUUGGCACGGCCUUCCCAUUCCACCACACAACCCCACUUGUACAGGGAGCAUCCAUUGGGUGGAUAUACACUCACUUGUUUGCUGCUUGCUUUGUUAUGUUACUACUCAUAAGGUUGGACUGGAGUUUGAAUUUCCUUGCUUCUUUUUAAGUCACACAUUGAGUUUCUGUCUGGAUCCCUUGUGUUACUGGUUCUACAGACCGGAGCUAUGGAGAUUAUUUUGCUGAUGUAAAAGUUGUGAGCUGGAUGGUGAAUAAUGCAGUUGUUUUUCUGUGACCCAAGAUCCCAAAUAUCCUUCCAGAAUCCUGUUGAUCCAGUCUUGAAAUCCGCAAAUGCAGUAUGGUCUAUACCCUGUAUAUCUGCACCCAGAAAACCAAUCAGAUCUUAGAAAAUUGUGACCAAGAGGAAGUUGGUGAUAAUGUCUUGGCUGGCCCUUACAUGGGCUCAGUAAAUAGAGUACGUGCCCUCUAGGUACAAUAUGGCAGUAGCGGCAGCAUUCAAUGGUCCACAGAAGGGGUAGAAGUGAUUGAGUGCAAUGGAACACAUGAAGGAACCAAGAGUUGUGGCUUAGUACAGAAAAGAGCAUAUUAAUGGGCAGAGUGUCAUUUCCCAUAUGCCACUGUACCUGCUCCAUGUGUCCUAACAGCAACUGUAAAGCACCAGAGCAUCUUUUCCCUUUGCACUCAUUGUUUCUUCAUGCUCUUUGUUUUGCCAUUACUUUUCCUAGCUUUUUCUACAUUCUUAACCUGGGAGCAUAGUUUGCUGAUUUUACAUAUCCUUUUAAAAAUAAUCAUACUUAUAGCUCUUAAUUUCUGUCUAACCCAUUUUAAAUAAGUGAGUUCUUAUAUAUUUUAUUUUCAAUUUUUUAAUACUUUUUGAAAGCUUUUAUUUAUAAAUACAAAUUUCAUAGGUAUAGCUUUAGGAAUAUAGCAGUUCUUCCCUCCAUACCCACCUUCCCACCCUUAUUCCCAUCCCACUCUUCAUUAAGAUUCAUUUUAAUUAUCUUUAUAUACAGAAGACCAAAUCUAUACUAAGUAAAGAUUUCAACAGUUUACACCCUCCUACACAAAGUAUAAAGUACUGUUUGAAGACAAGUUUUCCCACUAAUUCUCAUAGUAUAACUCAACAAGAACAGAGGUCCUACCUACAUGGGGAGCAAGUGCACAGUGACUUCUGUUGUUGAUUUAAAAAAUGACACUCUUAUUUAUGAUGUCAUUGCUGUUUGCAUAGUGUGUAGUAAAGGCCAUUUUGUUUGAUUUACAUUACCCUUUUUGCUUUCAUCAUUACUACAUACAGUAAACAAUAUUUCUUUCUCCAACUAUCUACCCUGUUAUUUUUGCUAUAUAUACAAACUUGCCAUAUAUUAAAGGGUUUAUUUUCUGACUAAUUUAUUCUGUUUUACUGCUGAGUUUUCUAUUUCAACUUCAAUAUCUGUAAGAAUCCCAUGUGUAUUAUGAAUGUAUGGUAACUCUUGACUGGUGAUGCAUAACAUAUAUGUUUAUUAUGCUUUGUUUCAGAAGUGUCAUUGUCACGUUGGGUCAUUUGCUCUUACAUAAAGCUAUUUUAGUUUUCGGCUUAUCAAUUGAAUUGCUAAUAAUUCCUAUUUGAAUUUUUACUGGAAUUCUAUGCUCUGCUUGGAUUUUGCUAUUGAUUAGUUUGUAGAAAAUCAAUGCACUUAAGUUAUUGAGACUUUUCCAAGGCGUGUGGCAUUCUUUUCCAAUGUUGAAGAUUAUUUUCCCUCUCACUACAUGUUGAACUCUUAGUAGAGUUAAUCUUUUGAGUAUAAAGUAAACUGAAAGUAGUUCAUUGUAAAAAGUAAAAGAGGGAAUAAGAAAGGAGGGAGCAGUAAGAAUGGGAGCAUUGCCAGGAGAUUGUGUAGGGUGGGAAGUAUCACUGUGUUCCUAAAUCUGUAUAUAUGAAAUAUAUUAAAUUUUUUCACCUUAAAUGAAAAUUUAAAACCAUUUUUAUAUUUUAGUUUAAUUUUACAUCUCUGUUGUGAAAUAAUUGACAUAUAAUCAACUAUAUGUUAAUUUUGAAAGCUGAUAAUUUCUAAAAACUUCAUGAAAAUGGAACUAAAAGAUGAGCUUAUUUGGUUCCAAAAUUUGAAAUCCAUGUUUUUUGUAGUAGAUGUUUUAUGGGCAUUUUGAAAACCCCUCAUCUAUACAGAAUUACAUCAUUACCACAAUCAAAAUAAUGUAUACACCCACUAUCUACAAAAAUUUUAUUAUGGCACUUUCUAUUCCUCUCUCAAUCCAUCUUUGUUUUUGAAAUUCAAUCUUGUUUACUUUUUUUUGACAGGCAGAGUUAGACAGUGAGAGAGAGAGAGACAGAGAGAAAGGUCUUCCUUUCAUUGAUUCACCCCUCAAAUGGCCACCACGGGCUGGCACACUGCACCAAUGUGAAGCCAGGAGCCAGGUUCCUCCCGCUGGUCUCCCAUGAAGGUGCAGGGCCCAAGCAUCUGGGCCAUCCUCCACUGCUUUCCUGGGCCACAGCAGAGAGCUGGAAUGGAAGAGGAGCAACUGGGACGGAAUCCAGUGUCCCAACUGGGACUAGAAUCUGGGGUGCCUGCGCCGCAGGUAGAGGAUCAGCCAAGUGAGCUGUGGUGCUGGCCUCUUUACUUUUUUUUUUUUUAAAAAAACACUUAUUCCUUAGUUAUUUGAAAGGCAGAAUUACAGAGAGGCUGAGAGAGAGAGAGAGAGAGAGAGAGAGAGAGAGAGAGAGAGAGAGU